rnacentral:lncRNA from 1 species
AAUACAAAAACAAUUAGCCGGGCAUAGUGGCACAUGCCUGUUACCCCAGCUACUGGGGAGGCUGAGGCGGGAGAAUCACUUGAACCCAGGAGGCAGAGGUUGCAGUGAGCCGAGAUUGCGCCAUGGCACUCCAGCCUGGGCAACACAGUGAGACACCAUCUCAAAAAAAUUUAAAAAUGCUUCCACAAAUAGGAGGAGAGACCAGGGAUUAGGGAGAAAGCAGCUCUGCAAAGGCAGAUCUUGUGCCCAUCAUGACAAUCUCAGCCUGUGUGGCUCCCGGAAGCCCCUGUGGCUUGAGAUGUGUCUUCGUGUUUGCGAUCACCACCUGGGAGUCAGCCUUGUCAUCU